UUAGUACUCCCUCCGUCCCAAAAUUCUUGUCUUAGAUUUGUCUAGAUAUGGAUGUAUCUAUUCACGUUUUAGUGUUAGAUACAUCCGUAUCUAGAUAAAUCUAAGACAAGAAUUUUGGGACGGAGGGAGUACAAC
rnacentral:pre_miRNA from 1 species